UCAUAAAACCUUUACUAUAUGAUGCAUGCAUAUAUGACAUAUGAUUGGGCAUAGUAGCAUAGUUUUUCUACAAUUGCAUUUAUAGUUUUUCAUAACUAUCUAUCUAUCUACUUUUGCCCACUCGAACCUAAACUCUCUACUCUCUCUCUCUCUCUUCACAUCUUUAACCUAAACUCCCCCUCUCUCUUAAUAUAUAAAUUCAUAGCUCCUUCUACCUUUAACCUCAAAUAUCUUUUUGUAAGCUAAGCUAAAGCUCUCUCAAUUUAACUAAAAUAAAU
rnacentral:lncRNA from 1 species